rnacentral:rRNA from 1 species
ACGCUCGACACCUACGGGAGGCAGCAGUUAGGAAUAUUGGGCAAUGGAGGAAACUCUGACCCAGCAACGCCGCGUGAAGGAAGAAGGUUUUCGGAUUGUAAACUUCUGAUCUAGGGGAAGAAGGAAGUGACGGUACCCUAGGAGAAAGCCACGGCUAACUACGUGCCCGCAGCCGCGGUAAUCUGAGCGGGCUGGCAAGGC